UACAGAGGGGGCAAGCGUUGUUCGGAAUUACUGGGCGUAAAGGGCGCGUAGGCGGCCUUCUAAGUCGAACGUGAAAUCCCCGGGCUCAACCCGGGAACUGCGUCCGAUACUGGAAGGCUUGAAUCCGGGAGAGGGAUGUGGAAUUCCAGGUGUAGCGGUGAAAUGCGUAGAUAUCGAGAGGAACACCUGCGGCGAAGGCGGGUUGCUGGGCUGACACUGACGCUGAAGCGCGAAAGCUAGGGGAGCGAACGGG
rnacentral:rRNA from 1 species